rnacentral:misc_RNA from 1 species
UCCAGUUUUGGGUUUUGCAUAGAAAUUGUUCUAUUUUCUUUUUAUUGAUUUUUUGCAUAACAUGCCAAAUGCUAUUAUCAGUUAUAGACUUAUAGUCAUUUUCUCUUCUCGGUUGAAUAUUUAGUACAAUUCACUUGUUCCUGUUCAUUAUCUAAGCUGCACACUAUUAUUACUAUCAUUUAUUGGAAACAUUUUAUUUACUUUCUAGGUUGUUUUUGUAUGAUUAAUUUAUUUUCUUUAUAUAAAUUUCAUAUUGGUUGGUGCUUAAUUUUCGUAUUUUUUGGAUCGUUGGGUUGGUCUCUAUGAUUAUUGCAUUUUCUCGAUUCCUGAACAGAUAUUGUUUG